CUACGGGGGGCAGCAGUGGGGAAUAUUGCACAAUGGACGAAAGUCUGAUGCAGCAACGCCGCGUGGAGGAUGACACUUUUCGGAGCGUAAACUCCUUUUAUAUCCCAAGAUAAUGACGGUAGGAUAUGAAUAAGCACCGGCUAACUCCGUGCCAGCAGCCGCGGUAAUACGGGGGGUGCAAGCGUUACUCGGAAUCACUGGGCGUAAAGAGCGUGUAGGCGGGUUUGUAAGUUGGAAGUGAAAUCCUAUGGCUCAACCAUAGAACUGCUUCCAAAACUGCUUACCUAGAAUAUGGGAGAGGUAGAUGGAAUUUCUGGUGUAGGGGUAAAAUCCGUAGAGAUCAGAAGGAAUACCGAUUGCGAAGGCGAUCUACUGGAACAUUAUUGACGCUGAGACGCGAAAGCGUGGGGAGCAAACAGGAUUAGAUACCCGAGUAGUC
rnacentral:rRNA from 1 species